UACGGAGGGGGCUAGCGUUGUCCGGAAUUACUGGGCGUAAAGCGCGCGUAGGUGGUCCACCAAGUCGGGGGUGAAAGCCCAGGGCUCAACCCUGGAACUGCUGGGUAUACUGGUUGUCUUGAGCCAGCUAGGGGCGAGCGGAACAGACGGUGGAGCGGUGAAAUGCGUAGAUAUCGUCUGGAACGCCGAAGGUGAAAACAGCUCGCUGGGGCUGCGCUGACGCUGAGACCCGAAAGCCAGGGGAGCGAACGGG
rnacentral:rRNA from 1 species